GUUCCAGAGGGGAUGUUUCACACCUGCGCUGAGAGUCAGCAGUGUGUGGACACUGGAAAAGGCUCCAGAGAGGGCAGAGGAGGGGGAAAAGGUCCCCACAUCAGGGUCAUGACCAGGUUGUCCUGAUCUGGCCCAGAUCCGUGAGGCUGGAUCCAAAAGGAGAGGCCAGCAUGGGAUGCAGCUGAGCAGGCUGCUGUCCAGUGCCUAAUAGGGCCAGGACACCUCAUCUUACCAGCAGAACAAUUAGCCUUUAUUUUGGGAAAUGAGAUUGCAGGAGCUGGCCAGGACCCAGGGCUAAAUGCAGCUUUGGAAAAGAGUUGAGAAGCUCCUGUAAAUGAGACUCAGGGAAGAAGGCUACUUCCGAGCCAGUCCUGGCAGAGAGGAACCUACCUCUGAAUGGGGCUUUUCCCUCGUGUUUUCCUUCUGGCAUCCUUCUAAUAUGACAGCAAUUAAAAGCCCUGAAAAAAAUGGAUGGAAACAAUUUGGAA